CCCAAGAAGACCUGCCUAAGGAGGAAUAAUGUAAGGAGAAUAAGUCUGCCUUGGAAUCUGGGCUGUAUUCUGAAGGAGAGACACUUAGCAAUUGGCCUGUCUCCAACCUCCAACUGUAACUCUCCCCAAACACGGCCCAGCAAUCCAACCAU